GAGUUUGAUCCUGGUUCAGAACGAACGCUGGCGGCGUGCCUAACACAAUGCAAGUCGAACGGAGGUAAGGAGCUUGCUUCUUACUUUAGUGGCGCACGGGUGAGUAACGCGUAGAUAAUCUGCCUGAUGAUCUGGGAUAACACUUCGAAAGGGGUGCUAAUACCGGAUAAGCCCACGGGGUCUUUGGAUUCUGCGGGAAAAGGGGGGGACCUUCGGGCCUUCUGUCAUCAGAUGAGUCUGCGUACCAUUAGCUAGUUGGUAGGGUAAUGGCCUACCAAGGCUACGAUGGUUAGCUGGUUUGAGAGAAUGAUCAGCCACACUGGAACUGAGACACGGUCCAGACUCCUACGGGAGGCAGCAGUGGGGAAUUUUGCGCAAUGGGCGAAAGCCUGACGCAGCAACGCCGCGUGAGUGAUGAAGGCUUUCGGGUCGUAAAGCUCUGUCAAUGGGAAAGAAGUGUAUUAUGGCUAAUAUCCAUGAUACUUGACGGUACCCAUAAAGGAAGCACCGGCUAACUCCGUGCCAGCAGCCGCGGUAAUACGGGGGGUGCAAGCGUUGUUCGGAAUUAUUGGGCGUAAAGAGCGUGUAAG
rnacentral:rRNA from 1 species